rnacentral:rRNA from 1 species
AAUAUUGUACUAUGGGCGAAAGCCUGAUCCAUCCAUCCCGCGUGUGUGAAGCAGGUCUNCGGAUUNUNUAGCACUUUAAGUUGGGNGGAAGUGUUUUAGUUUAAUACUCUGCAAUUUUGACGUUACCGACAGAAUAAGCACCGGCUAACUUCGUGCCAGCAGCCGCGGUAAUACGAAUGGUGCAAGCGUUAAUCGGAAUUACUGGGCGUAAAGCGCGCGUAGGUGGUUCGUUAAGUUGGAUGUGAAAGGCCCGGGCUCAACCUGGGAACUGCAUCCAAAACUGGCGAGCUAGAGUACGGUAGAGAGUGGUGGAAUUUCCUGUGUAGAGGUGAAAUGCGUAGAUAUAGGAAGGAACACCAGUGGCGAAGGCGACCACCUGGACUGAUACUGACACUGAGGUGCGAAAGCGUGGGGAGCAAACAGG